UUCCUGAUGGCGCAGAUGGUAAAGUAUCUGCCUGCAACGCAGGAAACCCAGGUUCAAUCUCUGGGUUGGGAAG
rnacentral:tRNA from 1 species